AUAUAUGAAUAUAUAUAGAUACCUGUGUAUACAUACACAAACAAUCAUGCACAUACAUAGCCAUGUGUAUCUCUGUGUGUGUACUACAAACCUAUGCAUAUAUGCCUGUGCAUGUAUACAAAUACACAUGUGUGUAGACAGACAUCUAUAUGAGGAAAUAAUUUAUAUAUAUGUAUAUAUACCUAUACACACAUCACUAUCUAAAUCCCAUAAUAUAUAUGUGCAUAUGUGUAUUAUUGCUGUAUAGAAACUGGCUAGGUCCAAGAGAUGGGCUCUGUUACUUUACUGGUUUGGCUAAAGUCCUUUCACUUGGCUGAAUCUCAGUUUUCUCACCUGUAAAAAGGGAUCAAUCAUACCUGUAUUGCUUAUUUCAACAGGUUGUUGGGAGGAUUGAAUAAGGCAAAGAGUUUUGUGAACCGUGACGAGUUCUAUAAAUCAAAGCUAUUAUUGCUUUCAGUGGAAAAAGACUUGGACCAUUAGCUUGUUACUGAAGAGUUUCGUGACCUUGACGAAAUCAUUUGACCUCUGUAUUAAGAGUUCUUAUAGCCAUCCAAUGAUGGAUACCUACUGGCUUGUUCUGAGAAUGUCAAUGAAACAUUAGCUGCAUCAAGGCUUUGAAAGCACCAUAUUAAGGUUAACAUUUUAUUAGCCACUCUUUUCUGUACACAUGAUGAAGAUUGUAGAUUUUAAUCUCACAGAAGUAUGAAGAGAGGUGAAUUAAGCGGGGAAAUAACUGGAAUCUGUAUCAGGAAAAUUAUGUGGCACCCUUUGAUAUAAACACUAUACCUGUCUACAUAGCAGUUUCCCUUUUUAUGGUAGGAGCUGAAGGACUAUGAAGACACUUGACCUUUAAGGUUGUUGACCUUUAAGGUUGUUCUUUAAUUAGAGUGAAGAUGCUGAAAAUGUGGUGAUAUUAUUUUAUCAUAUCUAUAGUAUCCUCAUAGUCUUAUAAAGGUCUUCCAGUCAAAUACAUGGACUCUUCUUCAUUCUACCCCCACAGUACAAUUUCAGGGCGUGUAUAGAUAUUCUCUCUGACUCCCGGGACUUUCAAGGAAAUUUGGAUAUUCAUAAAUAUCUUUUGCCUACUUUUUGUUAUAUAUAGCUAGGUUCAGUCACUCCAUCUUCCCCUCGUCAGAAGUUAAAACUUCUGACGGGGUGCCACACAAGAGCAGAAGAGGUAGCCUCUGACUGAUUUGUUUUUCAAGGUAAUUGUCAAAAAAAAAUUGGAAUGAUGUCAGUCAGGGAUAGAAGAAGGAAGAAGCCUUCCCUACCCUAGAUAAGGAUGGACCAGGAUGUUCUGGUGUCCGCUCUCCCCACUUGGAAAGUGGACUCAUUCAGCCAGGCUUAUUACAGGAGCCCCUGAUUUCUCAGUGUUUUCCUUUAUUCUAGCAUUGACAUAGUGACUGCCAACAACAAGGGGAGCAGUUGUGAUCAAAGCAGCAGGAGCAGGAUUGGGCAAAAUCCUUGCCUCUGGAAAGAAAGCACCUGAAAGGAGAUUCUGCUUGGUGUUUGAUGGAUUGUGCUCAAUGGAGAUGAAAGAAACAAUUGGGAUAGAAGCAGCUCCCAUUUUCUUAGAGUAGGAUCACAGUGUUGAAUCUGGAGAGACCUUUCCAAAUUCUUCAUUUUGCAGCUGAACAAAAUGAGAGUGUUGGGGAAAUGUCAACACAGAAAACGUGCUGAUUUUAAAAAAGAAAAGGAAAAAAGUUCUUUGGGAAGAUACACAAGAGCUGAUGCAGAAUGAAGGAAAAAAAAAACAGGAAAAGAAUAAUAUAAAUGGAAAGAAAAUAAAUUAAACUAAGCUGUGUUGAUGACUAAAUCCAAACUCCACCUGAUUAUAAUGACUAAAUGUGGUCCCACAAAAGAGAUAAGAAAAUACACCUUUUUCCUCCCUAGCAUGUAUAAGUGGCUGUGGAAUCAGAUUUAAUUGAUAUAUAGUUUCUCUUUUCAAUAAAAAUUUUUAUUCCCAAA